UCCAGACUCCUACGGGAGGCAGCAGUGGGGAAUAUUGCACAAUGGGGGAAACCCUGAUGCAGCGACGCCGCGUGAAGGAAGAAGUAUUUCGGUAUGUAAACUUCUAUCAGCAGGGAAGAAAAUGACGGUACCUGACUAAGAAGCCCCGGCUAACUACGUGCCAGCAGCCGCGGUAAUACGUAGGGGGCAAGCGUUAUCCGGAUUUACUGGGUGUAAAGGGAGCGUAGGCGGUUCAGCAAGUCAGAAGUGAAAGCCCGGGGCUCAACUCCGGGACUGCUCUUGGAACUGCGCGGCUGGAGUGCAGGAGGGGCAGGCGGAAUUCCUGGUGUAGCGGUGAAAUGCGUAGAUAUCAGGAGGAACACCGGUGGCGAAGGCGGCCUGCUGGACUGCGACUGACGUUGAGGCCCGAAAGCGUGGGGAGCAAACAGGAUUAGAUACCCUUGUAA
rnacentral:rRNA from 1 species